GGGAUAUUUUGCCCCAAAAAUAAGUUUUGGGGGAAGGGGGGGGGGGAUUCCUCCAUAAAGAUGCUGAGGGUGGGGGAUUUUACCCUAAAAUGGUGGUGAGGGGGGGGAUAUUCCCUCAUAAAGGUGGUGAGGACGGGAUAUUCCCCCAUAAAGAUCCUGACGGGGGGGGAUUUUUCCCCCAAAAAGAUGAUGCUGAGGGUGCUGUCCCCCCAUAACGAUGCUGAGAGGGGUGAUUUCCUCCGUAUGGGUGCUGAGAAGGGGAUAUUUCCCCCAAAAGAAUGCUGGGGGGGGGGAAAUUUCCCCAUAAGGGUACUGAGAGGGGUUACCUCCAUACAGAUGCUGAGGGAGGGGAUAUUUCCCCAUAGAGACGUCUGCGGGUCUUUCCCCGCAUCCCACCGGGGGUCUGACCCCAAAGCUCUGCCCCAUGGGGAGGGUGGGGGUCCGCACGCCUCAGUUUCCCCCCCACGGCCGCAGCCCGCAGCCCGCCCCACCCCGGCUAUUCCUGAACCCCCGGCACCCUCCAAUUGUGGCCGGCAGGGCAGAACCCCGUAAUCACGGCACCGACUGCGCCGCUAUUUCCAGCUGCGCUCAAAGCAGCCAUGGGCGUAAUUGGCCUCCGGGCCGCCAGCGAGACGUGGCUCCUCGCCCCAAAAUAGGAGCUGCGUGGCCCACCGGGGACCCCCGGCCUUGGGGGGUGCAGGUGGAUGGGGUGGGGGCUGCAGGGCUGUGCGUGCACCGUGUGGGAUAGGGCUGCGGGGUCGGAGUUAUGGAGGGGGUGGGGGCAACGUCAAGGUGGGUGAAGCUCCUGAAUGGAGGGUGGGGGUCUUUAGGAUGGGAGCACCCCAAGGGUGGGGGGAUCCAAAGGACGUGGGGAUCCCCAGCAUGGGGGUAUCUCAAUGGUGGGGGCACCCCAAGGAUGGAGGCACCCCAAGGGUGAGGGGAUCCCAAGGACAUGGGGUUCCCCAACAUGGUGGCAUCUCAAUGGUGGGGGCACCCCAAGGUUUGGGGUGUCUGCAAGAUAGAAGGGGUCCCAAGGAUUGAGGGGGGGAACCCAAGGAUUGGGAGGUCCCAAGAAUGAGGGUGCCCCAAUGAGGGCAUCCCGAGAGUGGGGGGAUCCCAAAGGUGGGGCACUCCAAGGGAGGGGGAUCCCAAAGAUGGAGGGAUCCCAAGGAUGGGAGGAUCCCAAGGAUGGAGGGAUCACAAGGAUGGGGGAUCCCAAGGAUGGGGGUGUCCCCAACAUAGAGAGGGUCCCAAGGAUGGGGGAGAUCCCAAGGAUUGGGGGGCCCCAAGAAUGCGGUUGCCCCAGUUGUGAGGGCAUCCCAAGAGUGGGGGGAUCCCAAAAGUUGGAGUAUCCCCAACAUGGUGAGAUCCCGAAGUUGGGGGCACCUCAAGGGUGGGGGAUCCCCAACACGGGGAUAUCCCAAGGAUGGGGACACCCAGAGGGUCUCAAGGAUGAUG
ensembl:lncRNA